CUUGGUGACUGAGUGGCGGACGGGUGAGUAACGCGUAUGCAACCUGCCCGAUACCGGGGUAUAGCCCAUGGAAACGUGGAUUAACACCCCAUAUACUUUUAUCCUGCCUGGGAUGGGAGUUAAAUGUUCAAGGUAUCGGAUGGGCAUGCGUCCUAUUAGUUAGUUGGCGGGGUAACAGCCCACCAAGACGAUGAUAGGUAGGGGUUCUGAGAGGAAGGUCCCCCACAUUGGAACUGAGACACGGUCCAA
rnacentral:rRNA from 1 species